UGCGUGUGCGUGCGCCGCCAGCUUGUGUUCAGACAGCAGCAGUUUGAGGAGCGAGAAUUAAAAGUAGGGAGAGAUGCCAAGUGAGUCCCUGGAGACAGAUACAGGGGACAGAGAGAGAAGAAAGAGGAAAUAAAAAGGAUUUUACACACAUGCACAUGAACACAUACACACUUUCACACAAAGAAACCAAGCCCAUGGUGGUUGUCCGAUAAAAAGCAACACACACAUUUAAAGAGGAUUUCCAUUGAGGUUUCAUGUAGUAAAGUGAUAGUGUCUGUUUUCUUAUCACUUCUGAUAUCUCAUUAAGUUCGUCUCCAUCAUGAUAACAUAAUAUGUUUCCUGAUUUCGUAAACCUAAUCCUAAUCUCAAUCCUCCAACAGGUCUACGAAGAAGUAAAGACAGACCGAAACAUCCUCAAGACUAUUUUCAUGAGGUCCUCCCAUCCACUUCGCAGAACCAGCCUGUCAUCCCACAACCCCCGGCGGCAUCGUCAGAACCCAUUUCUUAUGCUGCGAGGACGGGAUGAGUGUGUGUGUGAGUGUGUGUGAGUUUAUGUAUGUGUGUGUUUCCACCCCCCCACCUUGUCACUCCCGCUCUUUUCCCACUGAGCGUGUGCCAGCUCUCUGUGUUUGCUGGCUGACAGGACCGAAGGAGAGACGAUUGUUCUCUACUUACCCAGAGACCCUCCCCUGCCAAGUCUGGGAUGAAAUCCUUUCUAUAGCGCUAACUCCUCACAGUCGGGCAUCUCGCAGCAAAACCCACACCACCACUGCUCCGGGUGGGGGGGUGAUACCACGCUAGAAGUCAGGCAGAUACACAGAGGUCUGCUUUACACCAUAACACUGUAAAAAAGAAAAGGAAAAUAUCUCAUGAGUCGGAGUCUUGUUGAGGACUUAUAUAAGAUAUUUGUUUUGUGUGUACAGGUCAGGUGAGCUAAUCGAAAGCAAGUUUUUGCAAAAGAAUCAUCCUGAAAUGAAUCGACAGUUUGUUGAUAGACUUGCAUGAUCUGUUCAGAUUUCAUAAUGGUCGAGAUGAUUUUUGAUAGUUUAUCGUAGCCCACAGAAUAAAUCAGAUGCCAUUUUCUGCCAGUUUCAGAAUUGAUUGUAAUUGAGUAUUUGCCUUCUUUUGGGUGUAUUUCAUACCUGCCUGAAUCCUUGCUAUAGUCUUUACAUGCAUAUAUAUGUAUAUGUUUAUUUGAAUAUCUCAUUACACGUAAUGCACAGCUACAGUUUACAUCCUCCUGUAAUCAUCCUGUGCCACUGCACUUGACCAGUCACCCUACAUUUCUCUACAAACAAUGUUCCUGUCGUGAAAGGUGUAUAUUAUGUACAUAUUCGUUAUGUAUUUUUUAAAUGAAUAAACUUUUUCUUCUAUUGCC